AAGUCAACAAGGUUUCCGUAGGUGAACAGUGGCAUGGUUUCCCUAAGCAGUGCAGAAGGAUCCACUGAGUAAGGAUAACGCAUCACGGUUGCCAGAGGUCGAUCACCGGCCGGCAGACAUCUUGCUCUCUCAUGCCCGCCGGAAACGCCGGCACAAAAACCGAACAACUGUUAACAAUGGAUAUCUUGGUUCUC
rnacentral:misc_RNA from 1 species